UUCUCCCAGUGCCCUCCCCCCACCUCCCACCCACCGCCCUCCCAGUUCCUUCCAUUUCCUCCCAGUUCCUCCCAGUUCUUUCCCAACGCGGCCUCCCAGUCCCUCCCAGUUGCCCCCAGUGACUCCCAGUUCCUUCUUGCGCCACACCAGCGCCUCCCACUGCCUUCCCAGUUCCGCCCAGUACCUUCCAGUGACCCCAGUCCCCUCCGGCUCCCUCCCAGUAAACCCAUUGUGUCCCUCCCAGUUGCCUCCCAGUUGCUUCCUCCUUCCUCCCCGCGCCCCACCGCUGCGCUCCCAGUGCUCCCAGUUCCUUCCCAGUCCCUUCCCAGCGCCCUCCCAGUGCCUCCCAGUGUCCCCAGUUCACCUGUGGCUCCCUCCCAGUGCCCUCCAGCGCCUCCCAGUGCCUCCUCUUUGGGGGCCCAGGAGGACCACCUGGUGGGGGUGGCGUUUCUUCUGGCAGCUGUGCCCCCCCACGAUCCGGUUCUCGUCCCCCGUGGCCGCUGGGGGGGCAGAGGAACAGCUCAGCCCUCCCACUUCCUCCCACUUCCUCCCUCUUCCUCCUGGAUCCUCCCAUUUACUCCCAAUUCCUCCUGCAUCCUCCAAUUUUCUCCCAGUUCCUCCCAGUUCCUCCUGCAUCCUCCAAUUUACUCCCAGUUCCUCCAAUUUCCUCCCAGUUCCUCCCAGUUCCUCCUGGAUCCUCCAGUUUCCUCCCAGUUCCUCCUGGAUGCUCCAAUUUCCUCCAAUUUCCUCCCAAUUCCUCCUGGAUCCUCCACUUUCCUCCCAGUUCCUCCCAGUUCCUCCUGGAUCCUCCAGUUUCCUCCCAGUUCCUCCAGUUUCCUCCCAGUUCCUCCCAGUUCCUCCUGGAUCCUCCAGUUUCCUCCCAGUUCCUCCAGUUUCCUCCCAGUUCCUCCCAGUUCCUCCUGGAUCCUCCACUUUCCUCCCAGUUCCUCCAGUUUCCUCCCAGUUCCUCCCAGUUCCUCCUGCAUCCUCCAAUUUCCUCCAAUUUCCUCCCAGUUCCUCCUGCAUCCUCCAAUUUCCUCCCAGUUCCUCCCAGAUCCUCCCAUUUCCUCCCAGUUCCUUUCAGAUCCUCCCAGUUCAUCCCAGUUCUUCCUGGAUCUUUCCAGUUCCUCCCAGUUCAUCCCAGAUCCUCCUGGAUUCUCCCAGUUCAUUCCAGUUCCUUCCAGAUCACUCCAGUUCCUCCCAGUUCCUCCCAGUUCCUCCUGGAUCUUUCCAGUUCCUUCCAGUUCUUCCCAGUUCCUUCCCAGUUCCUCCCCAGUUCCUCCUGGCUCUUCCCAAUUCCUCCUGGCUCCGACCAGUUCCUUCCAGUUCAUCCCAGUAUACCCAGUUUCUUCCCUUUCCUCCCAGUUCCUCCCAGUUCCUUCCCAGUUCCUCCUGGCUUAUCCCAAUUCCUCCUGGUUCCGACCAGUUCCUUCCAGUUCCUCCCAGUUUGUUCCAGUUCCUCCCAGUUCCUCCCCAGUUUCCCCCAUCUCCCCCCCCAGUUCCUCCCGGUUCCUCCCAGUUCCUCCCAGUUCCCUCCAUUUCCUCCCAGUGCCUCCCAGUUCUUCCCAGUUCCCCGCAGUCCCUUCCAUUCUCUCCCAGUUCCUUCCAGUUCAUCCCAAUACUUCCCAGUUCCUCCCAGUUCCUCCCAAUCCCUCCCAGUUCAUCCCAGUUCAUCCCAAUCCUCCCCAGUCCCUACCAGUUCCUCCCAGUUCCCCCAGUUCCCCCCUUCCUCCGUAUCCCAGUACAUCAGUGCUCCCAGUAUAUCCCAGUGCUCCCAGUACAUCCCAGUAUAUCCCAGUGUUCUGAGAAUAUCCCAGUAUAUCCCAGUAUAUCCCAGUACAUCAGUGCUCCCAGUAUAUCCCAGUAUAUCCCAGUACAUCAGUGCUUCCAAUAUACCCCAGUGCUCCCAGUAUAUCCCAGUAUAUCCCAGUGCAUCAGUGCUCCCAGUAUAUCCCAGUACUCCCAUUACAUCCCAAUACCUCCCAGCGCUGCGGUGCUCCCAGUGCUCCCAGCACAUCCCAGUAUAUCCCAGUAUAUCCCAGUACAUCAGUGCUCCCAGUAUAUCCCAGUAUAUCCCAGUACAUCAGUGCUUCCAAUAUACCCCAGUGCUCCCAGUAUAUCCCAGUAUAUCCCAGUGCAUCAGUGCUCCCAGUAUAUCCCAGUACUCCCAUUACAUCCCAAUACCUCCCAGCGCUGCGGUGCUCCCAGUGCUCCCAGCACAUCCCAGUAUAUCCCAGUAUAUCCCAGUACAUCAGUGCUUCCAAUAUACCCCAGUGCUCCCAGUAUAUCCCAGUAUAUCCCAGUGCAUCAGUGCUCCCAGUAUAUCCCAGUACUCCCAUUACAUCCCAAUACCUCCCAGCGCUGCGGUGCUCCCAGUGCUCCCAGCACAUCCCAGUAUAUCCCAGUAUAUCCCAGUAUAUCCCAGUAUAUCCCAGUAUAUCCCAGUAUAUCCCAGUAUAUCCCAGUAUAUCCCAGUAUAUCCCAGUAUAUCCCAGUAUAUCCCAGUAUAUC
rnacentral:lncRNA from 1 species